CGGGAAGGAAGGGCUGUUAACUGUAUUUGCAGUCCUUAACCUGGGGCAGUUGGGACAUUCUUUGUUGGGUUUGGUUCUGGCUAGCGCACACUGAUGAACAUGCUACCUCUUAACAUCCAGGUUACCUCUGGAACCUGCAGGUGAAACUUCAGCCCAUAGUGAAUCUCUUGCCAGAUAAAGGAAGACUGAUGGACUUUCUCCUCCAGAGGAAGGAGUGUAAAGCCGUCGUUCUGUCUGUCUGUUCACAGAUGCUGAGUGAGUCAGACAGAGCCACGCUGCCUGUGAUAGCCACUGUUUUCGAUAAACUCAACCAUGAGUACAAGAAGUACUUGGAUGCUGAACAGAGCUACACAAUGGUAAGACAGACUGUAUUGGAGAGUCCUGCAGUGUGAUGUGGUCAUACAGCGUAACAGCUGAGGGCACCGUGACAGUGG
rnacentral:lncRNA from 1 species